GUGGGUCCAUGAGUGCACGUUCCCCACUUCACUCCCCUCUCUUUGAUUCCCCAUCCACCGCCGCCUCCUCUCUCGCCUCACCGCCGGCCUCCUCUAUGCCCCUUCCUCUCCCUCUCGGACGAGGCCUAGCUAUGGCCGCCCGUGCCGCAUCCUGCAUCUGGCGCGGGAGCGUGUGGUGGUGACUAGCCGAGCCGUCCCGCUGGUUGCUCGAGCACGGACCCUUGCGACGGCGUCCGGACGAGGCCGGGCACAAGGCGGAGCUGCGGCCGGCGACCCGGCACCGGCGCUUGCCCGGCGGCGGGACCGUCUUCGCCGUGGCCGGUGGGAGAGUUGGGCGGCAGCAAGCGGUGCGGCGAGGGGAGGCGCAUGGGCGAGAGGGUGGGGCUCUUGCUAGCCGCUCUCCCGUCCCGUUGGUUUCUUGCGGCCACGGUGGCGUUUCUCAGAUCGAGCUGGAUGGCGCGACGGGGGCGUGGCACAGGUCGACUUGGGAGCGCAUCCGGCAUCUCGGUGGCCAUGGUCGUGAUGUGAUCCACCCUGUCUAGAGGGUAAUUUCUGCGUGUGAUUUGGGUAAGGAUCUGGGUGCUGUUCGUUUGCUCACUGUGUUUGUUCCUAGGUCGGCACCGCUGUUGUCACCGGCAGAAUGGCCGACUGGCCAUCGGCAGGCUCGGAGUCCUCUGCGAGCAGGUGAAGGAGCUUAAUUUCCAGGGGUAUGAGGUGAUUCUGGUCGCCUCCCGCGCCGUCGGCGUCGAGGCAGAGGCUCAAGUACGGAAAGCUCAUCAACAGCAGUUUCGCCGAUCUGCAGAACCCAUAGUUCGACCUGGAUGGGAAGGCAUGCGCUGCCGUCGGCCAGAGUGGCCUCAUGGCUAUCUACGAUACACUGAUUAGCCAUGUGGGUUUGCUAACUGUUGUUCUUUCUUUUAUUGUUGUUGUUGAGGUAUGGUCUUUCUUGCUCAUCUCCAAUCAAAUGCUUGUGAGCUGAAAGGUUCUUGUUUGUUUGUUUCCCUUCCUGUUCAAGUUGUUCGUCUUCUGUGUCGUUAGCCAGCAAGGUUAGAUGUGCUCUCAUUGCCACGCUUGAUUGCUUCUUGCAGCAUGUUCUUGUUUGAUUAUGUUUACCCUGGUGAUUUGCUUUCUGUUUGCUGCUUGGGCAAACAUGUGUGUCCCCUGUUUUCGGCAGUACAUCUUCGGAUUAGUGCUGUGGGCGAAAUGUGUGCAGCAAGUAGUAGUUGUAGCUGCUCAUUAUGAAUAUUGUGCCUACAGCCAUGGUUGACACACGUAUUAAGUGGUAGUUACUCCGUACACAUAGAAGGACGGUUUAGUGCGGAGAGGUUUAUGAAGGCCUACUGGAAUUAAUUAUUUCAGAACACUUACCCCUUCUAAAUUAUAUAUUAGCAGGGUUGUGCUUAUAUGUCCCUCUUUAGAUAGUUCUUGGGGAGACGGCAUAUUUAUAUUUGUAAUUUAGGCUACAAAAUGGAUUUUAUUCGUAUGUCUGCUAUAUUUCAGUUGUAUUGUCUUUCCUUCAAUCAAUUGACAAGUUCUUGCUUCUUUUAAUAUUAUUUCUCUUCAAUCAGUUUAUGAAUCCUUAGUUCAUUAGUGUUAUCUCUUUACACAGAAGAUCCUACUUUCAUAACUGAUGUGCUAUUCUCACAUGCAAUUAACUUGAUCUGGUUAGAAAGAACCAAUGGUUGGUGCUUGUUAAUUGCAUUAAUAGUAGUUGUUGUGUUCUGUGGUGAUUAUAUGUGCCACACAUGAAGUAUUGUAUAAAUGUGCCUUUAUUGUUCAAGAAGCAAGAAUUUCUGCCAUUUUUUGUUGUCUUUCAUCUUGGGAUAGCUACAAAUCUGCUGCAUAUGUUUUAAAGAUUAGGCAUCUCGGGAUAGCUACAAAUCUGUUGCAUACGCUUUUAAAAUUAGGCAGAGAAAAUUUUACCAAUUGGUGGCAGGUCCCUUUUUGGUUUGCUACGUUAUUUUGCUGUUUAUUAGGCAACACACUAAUUUCCCUUUGCUUACUAAUGCCAUGAUUCCUUUUAUGUUUCUGGUAAAAACAGUUGGGUAAUUCUUCUGUUGCUUCACGGAUCUUCCUGCAUGUUGUGUCUGUAUUACUGCCACUGAAGAUAUACCUCAACUGAAGAUCUAGCUUGUGACGAUGAUAUACCUAAGGUUAGUGUUAUUAUUACAUAUGGGGAGAGGUUUAUGAAAGCCUACUGAAACUGAUUAUUUGGUUACACUCACCACUUCCUUUGGACAGAAGUUGUUGUCUGGACGUACUGACCAUUGUGUUAUGCAGUGUUGGUCUAUACUUUAAUGCACCUGUGUUCACGCAUGGCCAGCUUUAUGUAGCAGUGUCGCGUGUGACAUCAAAAAAGGCUUUGAAAAUCCUGAUUGAACAUGAAGAUGGUACUACUGAUUCUCAGACCAGGAACAUUGUGUUUCCUGAGCACUUCCACUCCAUUUCUUAUAAUCCAUGCUGGUGGUGUCUUUUACAAUACAUGCAUUAUUCCAUUUACCCUGUUCGCUAUGGCCGGCCAGUCUGUUCUAGCUGAUUCAUGUGGUCGUCCGAUAUGUGUGGUGCCAACUGCCAUUUCUUUGCUAGCUGAUGUCAAUAGUCUUUUGGUUCAUACAGCUUAGUGCCUCAUAUAUGAAUGCUCUUUUUGGGUUCUUCAAUUUCUCUUCCCCCUAUCUUUUGCUGACUACACUGACUAUACGCCUGUUCUACCCUGAUGCUCUUUCUUCAUGCUGGUCCUAUGUCACGGGUGUUAAUAUCUACUACCUAUUUACUGCUUGUUGUGCAAAAUCUUUAGGUUAUUGUAAAUCAUUCCCUGCUGUAUAAAGUUUGGUUUUAGUCUGUUGCAUUUUGUUGGUUCCUAUCUUGCCAAUGUCUACAGCAAUAUGCUUUCUUGAUAGCCUAUUUUGCUUCACAUUUUUUGGGUAUGCCACUUCUCUAAUGAGUGGGUGCAUCUCUUCUUUGUUUUAUCAUUCUAUAUUUUUUCCUAACCUUUUUGGUAUUCUGCUUUCUCCUUGCAGAUGGCAAGCACCAUUUUGUUGGUUCCUGCCUUGCCAAUGUCUACAGCGAUGUGUGCGUCCUUUGUCUCAUCUGUGGCAUUACCGUGGGGCGUGGGGUGACUCAUAAUGGGCCUAUCAAGCAUACUGACCUUGUAAUGAUAGAUAAAGAGGUUGAUGUCAGUGCCAUUCAGAUAAAUAUAUUUUUAGCCCUGUGAAUUGAAAAAUGAGUGCUUCUUGGUUGUUGCUGUUGUUGGUCCAGAAGAUUCUUGGUGCUUCUUGGUGCUUUUACUACA